rnacentral:rRNA from 1 species
GAUGAAUGCUGGCGGCGUGCCUAACACAUGCAAGUCGAGCGGUAAGGCCCUUCGGGGUACACGAGCGGCGGACGGCUGAGUAACGCGUGGGAAUUUGCCCCAAAGUGAGGAAUAACUGCCCGAAAGGGUAGCUAAUGCCGCAUAUGGUCUUCGGAUUAAAGGAUUUAUCCGCUUUGGGAGAAGCCCGCGUUGGAUUAGGUAGUUGGUGAGAUAAAAGCUCACCAAGCCAACGAUCCAUAGCUGGUCUGAGAGGAUGACCAGCCAGACUGGAACUGAGACACGGGCCAGACUCCUACGGGAGGCAGCAGUGAGGAAUCUUCCACAAUGGGCGAAAGCCUGAUGGAGCAACGCCGCGUGCAGGAUGAAGGCCUUCGGGUUGUAAACUGCUUUUAUGAGUGAAGAUUAUGACAGUAACUCAAGAAUAAGGGACGGCUAACUACGUGCCAGCCGCCGCGGUAA